CCUACGGGAGGCAGCAGUGAGGAAUAUUGGUCAAUGGCCGGAAGGCUGAACCAGCCAAGCCGCGUGAGGGAGGAAGGCGCAGAGCGUCGCAGACCUCUUUUGCCGGGGGACAAAAGGCCGGACUCGUCCGGUCCUGAGGGUACCCGGAGAAAAAGCAUCGGCUAACUCCGUGCCAGCAGCCGCGGUAAUACGGAGGAUGCGAGCGUUAUCCGGAUUUACUGGGUGUAAAGGGAGCGUAGACGGAAAGGCAAGUCAGAAGUGAAAGCCCAAGGCUCAACCAUGGGACUGCUUUUGAAACUGUCAAACUAGAGUACGGGAGAGGUAAGAGGAAUUCCUAGUGUAGCGGUGAAAUGCGUAGAUAUUAGGAGGAACACCAGUGGCGAAGGCGUCUUACUGGACCGAAACUGACGUUGAGGCUCGAAAGCGUGGGGAGCAAACAGGAUUAGAUACCCCUGUAGUC
rnacentral:rRNA from 1 species